rnacentral:rRNA from 1 species
GAUGAACGCUAGCGGCAGGCUUAAUACAUGCAAGUCGAACGGUAAGUGUUGUAGCAAUAUAACACCAAGAGUGACGUACGGGUGCGUAACACGUAUGCGACCUACCCUUUACAGGAGGAUAGCUCGGGGAAACUCGAAUUAACCCUCCAUAAUAUAAUUGGAUGGCAUCAUUUGAUUAUUAAAACUCAGGUGGUAAAGGAUGGGCAUGCGUCUGAUUAGUUAGUUGGCGGGGUAAUGGCCCACCAAGACGAUGAUCAGUAGGGGACCUGAGAGGGUGAUCCCCCACACUGGCACUGAGAUACGGGCCAGACUCCUACGGGAGGCAGCAGUAGGGAAUAUUGGUCAAUGGAUGCAAGUCUGAACCAGCCAUGCCGCGUGCAGGAAGAAGGCCUUCUGGGUUGUAAACUGCUUUUGCCAGGGGAUAAAAUGUCUGUGCGCAGAUAAUUGAAGGUACCUGGUGAAUAAGCCACGGCUAACUACGUGCCAGCCGCCGCAGUAAAAC